GUAGGGAAUCUUCCACAAUGGACGAAAGUCUGAUGGAGCAACGCCGCGUGAGUGAAGAAGGUUCUCGGAUCGUAAAACUCUGUUGUGAGGGAAGAACAAGUACCGGAGUAACUGCCGGUACCUUGACGGUACCUCAUUAGAAAGCCACGGCUAACUACGUGCCAGCAGCCGCGGUAAUACGUAGGUGGCAAGCGUUGGCCGGAAUCAUUGGGCGUAAAGCGCGCGCAGGCGGUCCCUUAAGUCUGAUGGGAAAGCCCACGGCUCAACCGUGGAGGGUCAUUGGAAACUGGGGGACUUGAGUGCAGAAGAGGAAAGCGGAAUUCCAAGUGUAGCGGUGAAAUGCGUAGAGAUUUGGAGGAACACCAGUGGCGAAGGCGGCUUUCUGGUCUGUAACUGACGCUGAGGCGCGAAAGCGUGGGGAGCAAACAGGAUUAGAAACCCCGGUAGUCC
rnacentral:rRNA from 1 species